rnacentral:rRNA from 1 species
GACGAACGCUGGCGGCGUGCUUAACACAUGCAAGUCGAACGAAAAGGCCCUGCUUUUGUGGGGUGCUCGAUUGCCGCACGCGUGUGUAUCACGUGUGUAACCUGCCCUUGACUUUGGGAUAACUCCACGAAACUGGGGCUAAUACCGGAUAGAAUCUCCUGCUCCACGGUGGUGGUUGGAAAGAUUCGGCGGUUGUGGAUGGACUCGCGGCUCAUCAGCUUGUUUGUGUGGUAGUGGCUUACGAAGGCUUUGACGGGUAGCCGACCUGAGAGGGUGGCCGGCGACAUUGGGACUGAGAUACGGAGCAGACUCGUACGGGAGGCAGUAGGCGGGAGUAUGGCAGAAUGGGGGGGAGCCAGAGGCAGAAACGCCCGGUGCGGGAUGACGGGUUUUGGGGUGUAAACCGCUUUGGAAUGUAACGAAGCGGGCGUGACGGUAAUGGGUAAAGAAGCACCGGCUAACUACGUG